rnacentral:rRNA from 1 species
AACGAACGCUGGCGGCGCGCUUAACACAUGCAAGUCGAACGAGAAGGCGUAGCAAUACGCUUGUACAGUGGCGAACGGGUGAGUAAUACGUGGGCGACCUACCCUCGAGUGGGGAAUAACCCGCCGAAAGGCGGGCUAAUGCCGCGUACGCUUCCAUCUUUAUGGAGGUGGAAGGAAAGCCGUGCCGUGGGCACGGCGCUCAAGGAUGGGCUCACGUCCUAUCAGCUUGNGGUAGGGUAACGGCCUACCAAGGCUCCGACGGGUAGCUGGUCUGAGAGGACGAUCAGCCACACUGGCACUGCGACACGGGCCAGACUCCUACGGGAGGCAGCAGUGAGGAAUAUUGCGCAAUGGGCGAAAGCCUGACGCAGCGACGCCGCGUGGGGGAGUGAA